UAUUUAAAGCUUCAGUUGAUGAUGACUGAGCGAGAAUCUUUGACGGAUGGUAGUUGUAGAACAAAGUCUUGUCAGGAUGCAGUUACUUGCCAAUAUCCCUAUUUUUUGCCUAGAUUGCCCCAGGGUGAGGUACUCAAUCUAGCGGGAUACAUAUAUUCAUUUUUCAUGUCUCUAACUUUUGCCUGGAUCGCCCUUUCAGGUUUUCAAUCCACCGAGACGCCCAUUUUUGCCUAAGUCGCCCUUUUGGGUUUUCAACUUAGCGAACUAUUUUGUUUUUUUUUUG
rnacentral:lncRNA from 1 species